AGAAAUAGCUAUACCACCCUGGAUGCACGUGAUCUUGUCUGAUCUUGGAAGGGAAGCAGGUGGGCCCGGUUAAUACUU
rnacentral:rRNA from 1 species